rnacentral:ncRNA from 1 species
GAAAGCCGGAUGACACGGAAACGGUCACGUCCGGUUUGGAGAGAGGGGUGGAGAAACCUGCCUCAGCAACGAGGCAAGGCGCUUCAUCCCUACUCUAC